rnacentral:tRNA from 1 species
UGGAGAUUAAAUCUCUCUUCUUAAUAGA